rnacentral:lncRNA from 1 species
AUGUUGAUUCCACAAAGCAGAGAUUUAAAGAAGCAAGGACCUUACUAUCAAUGCCUUUUUCACAGGUUUUUUUCUAAGACCCUUGAAUCCUAUUUUGAAGGCACUUUACAAAGAGAACAGAGUAAGAUUCAUGAAAGUCAGGUCAGCUGGGUAGCAAAUUUGAUUAGAGUUUUUAGUUUAAUUAAUUGCAGUUUUUAUUUAUUUGCUAUUUUAUUUUACUUCAUUUAAUUUUAUUUUUUGGUCACUGUGAGUAGUGACUUGAUGUGGGAUCUCAGGUCUCCGACCAGGAAUUAAACGUGGGCCACAGCAGUGAAAGUGACAAGUCAUAACCACUUGACCACCAGGGAACUCCCUAUUUCCAGUGUUUAGAUUCAAUGGUAAAAUGAAAAAAAGGAUGUGUCUUAGACUCAGUGAACUAAGGACAGCUUUAAUUUUUUGCAUAAUCUUUUAUUCAUCUCUCCCAUACCUCUCAUAAAACCAGAGCCCAAAGCAAGAUCUCAUCCAGGCCAUUUCAAAGAGACUCAACACCUUAAAGUCCUUCUAUUACUCUAUUCCCCAAGCCAUCAACCCAGGGCUGCAGAUUAAUUUUUCUAAAGUAAGCACCGAUAUUACCAUCCACCUACUCAAACGCUUCCAAAUUAAUUCUCAUUACCUCCUAAAUCAAGCACCAAACCCCUUGGUUUUGUACUUAAGGCUAUAAUAUGGUCCCAAACUCUGCUAUUAAACUCCUAACGGUCUCUCAAGACGAUAUUAGGCUGAGAUACAACUUUAGGUUAAUAGUUCUUUGCACAGCUAGAAAGAUUCUACGAGAAGAGCUUUUUCUCUAGUUUCUCAAUUCAUGAUUUCUAUUUUUUUUUUAUUUUUUAGAAACCACUCUUGCUCCUUCUAAUCAGGCAUUGCCUUGCCUGGUCUCUGUAGUGACUCUCCCUUGGCCAAGAGCGGCAGAGUAGGUCUGGCCUCUCUUCCACGUUUUGAAAAAGGACCUUCCUCUUUUACACUCGAGCAUGAUUCCCCCCCGCACACAAUGAGGUUCUUUUGUUGCAUGUUUGCUCAUUACAAAAGCAAUACAUUUUCAUUACAGGGAAAUUGGGGGAACAAAAGAUAAACAAUGGAAAAUAGAAAUCACCCAUAAUCCUACCCGUCCAGAGAUAACUGCCAUUGAAUUCUCUUGUAUUUCCUUCUCUUUUUAUGAGAAUAUUACUCUUGAAAAAGUUCUCAAAUGUGGAUUUAAAGUGAUACUGAAAAACCAAUUAUUACAAAUAAAAGAAACAAAAAUGAACGAAACUCCA